GUCCGAAUAGAUGGAAUAGCCUGUCCAGGUACGUACAACACAUGGACUGAACAUGUUUAGAGCACAUGUACUCAACGCACUGUUUGAUCAUGUGUUAAGCAGAGGCCCUGGCUUCUUGGGUUCUUUGGGGACACCUCAGAGGAUGUGACUGUGAUAGUCCUUGUGACUGUGAGUAGCAGGGAGUUUAGGUCCCUGUUUCCUGUGACUGUAGCAGGGAGUUUAGAUCCCUGUUUCCUGUGACUGUGACUGUAGCAGUGAGUUUAGGUGCCUGUCUCCUGUGACUGUGACUGUAGCAGUAAGUGCCUGUCUCCUGUGACUGUGACUGUAGCAGUAAGUUUAGUGCCUGUCUCCUGUUUCCUGUGACUCUGACUGUAGUAGGGAGAUUAGAUCCCUGU